AUUGAACGCUGGCGGCAGGCUUAACACAUGCAAGUCGAGCGGGGGAGGUUGCUUCGGUAACUGACCUAGCGGCGGACGGGUGAGUAAUGCUUAGGAAUCUGCCUAUUAGUGGGGGACAACAUUCCGAAAGGGAUGCUAAUACCGCAUACGCCCUACGGGGGAAAGCAGGGGAUCUUCGGACCUCGCGCUAAUAGAUGAGCCUAAGUCGGAUUAGCUAGUGGGUGGGGUAAAGGCCUACCAAGGCGACGAUCUGUAGCGGGUCUGAGAGGAUGAUCCGCCACACUGGGACUGAGGCACGGCCCAGACUCCUACGGGAGGCAGCAGUGGGGAAUAUUGGACAAUGGGCGGAAGCCUGAUCCAGCCAUGCCGCGUGUGUGAAGAAGGCCUUUUGGUUGUAAAGCACUUUAAGCGAGGAGGAGGCUCUUAAGGUUAAUACCCUUGAUGAGUGGACGUUACUCGCGGAAUAAGCACCGGCUAACUCUGUGCCAGCCGCCGCGGUAAAAC
rnacentral:rRNA from 1 species